UGAAGAUCUCAAAAAACAAAAUCACAGGCAGUGGAGCUUGGUGACAGGGAAAGGCUCAUAGCAUUCUGUGAAGUGGUGCAACAAACAUGGCUGGUAGGAUCUUUUAUUUAACCAACUGCUGGGUAAACCCUUGGCUAUGCUUCAGAGAUGGAAGCACAAGUGAACUAUCAUGUGAUGGGCCCUUGAGAGAUGCAUAUGCAUUCUUUUGCCAGGUGAGCUGAGAUCCUCGUGUAAUUUUCACUCAGGGUCCUUGAGUCGUAUGCACUCUGUUAUGUGCAAGUGAUUCCAUUACCUAACCUGGUGCUAACUUAGCCAUAAGACACCAAAUAAACUAUCUUCGUACUUGCACUGCUCAUGACCUUUUAACCGUACUGCUGCAGUGAGGAACCCAUUGGAAAAAAGUGGCACUUGUCCUAAGUGAAGUUGUGAAGGUCAUAUAACUGUUCUGUGUGAUAAUAUUUCCACGUUUGUGGAAUGGACAGACCUUUUUCCUAAUUAUACUUUAUAUUGUGCAAUGGUCAGGUGGCAAAAUCUAGAACCAUGUGACUCUUUAUGGCUACUGAUCUCAUGCUUGGUGCCAUUGUACUGCAUGCUACACUGAGUUUUUUUUUUAUGAAAAACACAUCAACACGUUUAUCCAAGCUUACUUUGGUUGCAUUUUCAUUUUAAUAUAGGACAAAGUGAUUAAUUCUAUUUCUGAUUACGUGUUGAUAUAACACCAGUUUUAUUUCAUGAAACUGAUAAUGUGUGAAUUGUGAUUUUACCCGAGUCAAGUUCACCACUGAAAUAUGUAAAUCGAUAUGUCAAUUGCAGUUUUUAUGAAAUAAUAUUUGUUACAAUAAUCAUUCAUCAAUCAGGUGAUUGCUUAUGCUCAGUUGUUUAUGACUGACAAUUCUACAUGCCAGUGUGUACUUGCCUGAGCCUGUGUUCUCCUAUGGCCAGCUUUAUGUGGCAUUGUCUAGAGCCACCGCUAGGAGUAACAUCAAGGUCCUAGCUGCACCCGAUGAUAAAGAUAAGAAAAACAAAAAAUCAAGGCAAAGCAAGACCAAAAAAAACCAAAAGCAGAGUGGGGCUUAUACUAAGAACAUCGUUUAUAAGGAGGUUCUAAUGCUAUAACUAAGGAUGCUUAUGAAUUGCUAUUUCGGAUAUUGUUACAUGGUAAUGUGUAUAUCGUUUUGAAAUUUUGUUAUCUCCCGUUGCAACGCACAGGCAAAUUACUAGUUAAUACCUAUAUCUGCUGAGAUUGCAGUCUCCACAUCAUAUAUAUCCCUGUCCAUUGCCUGAAAACGUGUUCGGAUGAUGCUUUUUCUAUAAAUAAGUGUUGUUUUCUUCGA